AGGCGCCGCGACGUCCACGUCGGCCAUUGCUACGUCACCAUGGAUACCAGGGAGGAGACGAAGAGGAGACACGGUAAACCGGUAUCGAUCGUCGCAACCCUCGUUGCUCUUCUUGCGAAAUUAUUUCCAUGUUCUCCUCUGCGAAUCCUCUUUUUUCCCUGUUGCUGAUUAAUCCCGCGUUCCCGUCGAAUACCGUUAAUUGCGACAGUUCCACCUUCGUUUCUCUUCGACUUGUUAUUUUAAUCUCGAUUCGUGAAAGUAUCGUAGGAUUUCUUGUUUCCACUUGUUUGGUGGAAUUUUAUUAAGAAUUGAAUAACGCGAGAGAUUUAAAAAUUCUUUGGAACUUCUUGAAGUUUCUAGUACCUCGAUACUAAUACCUCAAACUCAGCUACUCUGCAAUCUUAGUCUAAUAUAUUAAAAACUUGACCUCGAUCUGGUCGAGGUGAAACUAAAGGAAUCACUAAAUGCGAAAGAACGUAGGUUCUCAGAAUGUUCGUGAAAUGUAUUACAAAAUAUUCUCCAUUUGAACAAAUAUCACAGCAUUCGAUUAAUUGAGAUGAAUCUUUUGCCUCCAAAAGAAAAAAGGAGAAACGUUAUUCUUUGUGAACGCCAUUCUCGUCGGAUAACGUAACAGAAUUGAUAGGUAUACAACUCAAUUCAACUCGAGUCAUUUUACACGGCUCGAAAUAAAUCCCUGUUCCACGGCCAUUCAAUCGAAAACGACACCGAGAAAACGAGAGAACAGAGAGGCAGAGGGGCGGUGAGACGGUACGAGAAAGGAGACGUUGCAUCGGUAUAAUCCGGCUCGUGUUUGCACAUGUUUUACAUCGACGCCCCGUCUGUUUGCAGACAGUAAAUUAUGUCGUACAAUAAGGCUACCCCUUUCGGUAUUCUAGCUGGCAGAUUAUAAAACGAGAAAAAGGGAAAAAGCCUCCUCGUUGCUCUUUUAUCGAUGAGAACUUAUGCUUUUGGUCCUUCCGUUUCCCCUCGUUUCAAUGAUAUAAAUACGCUUUCUUUCUUUUUGUUUUGUCGCCCGUAUCGUUCCUCCUCCAAGAACCUCUCGUGGUUAAGUGCAAAUAUUUAAUAAAAUUAUCUCGAACUAUUCUACCUAGUCAUUAGUAGAAUAAUAGUCCCGAGCAAGAAUAGCAGAGUACAUAUACACUUAAUGACUAUAAAAUUACAGAUCCAAGCGAAACUGCCACCUUAUUUCUUUGAACGUGUCGUUCUAGAAAUACUCGAAUAUUCUCCCUGCAAGGAAAAUUGAAGGCGAUAUUCCGCAAUACACGGACCUGGUUGUAUAAUGUUUUGCGUUCUCGCAGCCCGGUAAGAAUAAAAAGGGCGAAACAUCACGAUCGUGUGGUCGGAAUUCUGUGGUCGGUCUUACGAUAUUCGCGGCGGGAAGAGACCGCAAAGACAAUCGAGAUGACUCUCGGACGUUCAUCUGGACUUUUACCGCGUCCGGACGUGCACCGUUAACUUCGCGAAUUGCGUCGCUGCUUUGUCGAAAAAAAGCGCAUUGAAUUUUAAACACGCCACUCGUCCAAGCUACUAUCUUCACUGUGAGCGAGUUCACAAAAUGAGACGAAGAGAGCUUGCAAAUUUCGAAUUAUAAAUUUCAACUGGAUUUUUCAUUGCUCAAAAAUUAUUCUCCGGUACGUGGUACAAAUAAUGGAAAUUUAAUCAAUACCAAAUGUAUUAACGAAACCUCUACAAAUUCAACGUGUUGCACUCUCCAAAGAACAAAAAAAAAAAGUUCAUAGGGGAAACUCGACGUGAAAACGCUUUUUUUAUUCGUUCGUUGAACGAGGCAGUUCCACGAGCACGGAACGAUGGCAAGAAGCAAGGAGCCAGGAUAAUAGAGACGUCGCCGGUUUGAACGGUACGUGACGUGUAAUUAAACGCAGUCGCACCGAUUCGUAGAGUCGCGUGGAUCGAUCUGCUAGAUCCCCCGUGAUGCUGGCAAUUACCGAGAGCUUAGCAUGGAGGGCUAAGGCUACGCGACAACGCUCAAAGGUCGGCCCGUUCACAGAGGAAAGCGCACCGUCCCCUGUCCACCCCCUGGUGCACUGAAUGCUCGCCGAUUCACCCGGGGCCACGUGUCCCGCUGCUUCGAAAUAUUCAUAUCCUGCCUCUGGUCUCUGUUCGAAACGCGACCGGGACAGUUCGUGAGCUUGUACAAUGUGUAGAUGUCGACCAACCGCUUGUACUCAAAGGAAUGCUCGACUUCCUUGCACGCUUGAACUAACAUCAUCAAUCAAAUAUUCUAAGGCACAAGUUACAAGUUAGAAAAUUGCUUCGCGUAACAGGAAUAAGUAUAGUCUCUUUAUUGUAUUAAAUUCUUAAAAAUGUAAGAAAGUUCUGGGAUGCUUACCAACAUCUUCAACACAUUUUAACACAUCGUUUACGUUAUUUCUUCAUUGAUCAUGCCUGAAUAUGUUAAGUGAAAUUGUUUUCGUACAGAGGAUAAAUUAAAGGAUAUCAGGCGACGU